GAUAUUGGCGCAAUGGGUCAGUGCAUCUGACUGUUAACCAGAAGUUUGGUGGUUAGAACCCACCCAGGGACA